rnacentral:rRNA from 1 species
UGAAUUAAUGCAAACUGCAUACUGCUUUGAACAUCGACAUCUUGAACGCAUAUUGCGGCCAUGGGUUAGCCUGUGGCCACGGCUGUCCGAGGGUCGG